rnacentral:rRNA from 1 species
UACGAAGGUGGCAAGCGUUAUCCGGAAUUAUUGGGCGUAAAGAGCGCGCAGGUGGUUGAUUAAGUCUGAUGUGAAAGCCCACGGCUUAACCGUGGAGGGUCAUUGGAAACUGGUCGACUUGAGUGCAGAAGAGGGAAGUGGAAUUCCAUGUGUAGCGGUGAAAUGCGUAGAGAUAUGGAGGAACACCAGUGGCGAAGGCGGCUUCCUGGUCUGUAACUGACACUGAGGCGCGAAAGCGUGGGGAGCAAACAGGAUUAGAUACCCGU